UACGUAGGGUGCAAGCGUUGUCCGGAAUUAUUGGGCGUAAAGAGCUCGUAGGCGGUUUGUCGCGUCUGCUGUGAAAACUCGGGGCUUAACUCCGAGCCUGCGGUCGAUACGGGCAGGCUAGAGUUCGGUAGGGGAGACUGGAAUUCCUGGUGUAGCGGUGAAAUGCGCAGAUAUCAGGAGGAACACCGGUGGCGAAGGCGGGUCUCUGGGCCGAUACUGACGCUGAGGAGCGAAAGCGUGGGGAGCGAACAGG
rnacentral:rRNA from 1 species